UUAUUGCAUCAAUCGCUGUCAUUUUGCUCAUCUGCCUGGUGAUUUGUGUUUGGUGUUGUAAGUUCAAACAUUCCACUCCACAGCGGACUCAGACUCGAGCGGAGACGGAGGUUCAAAUGCCAGACAAAAAGCCAGAAGAAGAAAUCCACUAUGGUGAAGUGAGCUUCGUCCCGAGGAGACCUGAAGCCUCGGCCGUCUCAGUGCAGGACAGUGGACAGCAGGACUUGGUGUAC